GAUGAACGCUGGCGGCGUGCCUAAUACAUGCAAGUCGAGCGAACAGACGAGGAGCUUGCUCCUCUGACGUUAGCGGCGGACGGGUGAGUAACACGUGGAUAACCUACCUAUAAGACUGGGAUAACUUCGGGAAACCGGAGCUAAUACCGGAUAAUAUUUUGAACCGCAUGGUUCAAAAGUGAAAGACGGUUUUGCUGUCACUUAUAGAUGGAUCCGCGCUGCAUUAGCUAGUUGGUAAGGUAACGGCUUACCAAGGCAACGAUGCAUAGCCGACCUGAGAGGGUGAUCGGCCACACUGGAACUGAGACACGGUCCAGACUCCUACGGGAGGCAGCAGUAGGGAAUCUUCCGCAAUGGGCGAAAGCCUGACGGAGCAACGCCGCGUGAGUGAUGAAGGUCUUCGGAUCGUAAAACUCUGUUAUUAGGGAAGAACAUAUGUGUAAGUAACUGUGCACAUCUUGACGGUACCUAAUCAGAAAGCCACGGCUAACUACGUG
rnacentral:rRNA from 1 species